GUGACCUCGGAUCAGGAUAGGGAUACCCCCCCUGAAACUUAAGCAUAUCAAUAAGCGGAGGA
rnacentral:rRNA from 1 species